rnacentral:rRNA from 1 species
UACGAAGGGUGCAAGCGUUACUCGGAAUUACUGGGCGUAAAGGGUUCGUAGGUGGCUUACUAAGUCAAACGUGAAAUCCCUCAGCUUAACUGGGGAACUGCGUCUGAUACUGGAAAGCUUGAGUGCAGGAGAGGAACGCGGAAUUCCAGGUGUAGCGGUGAAAUGCGUAGAUAUCUGGAGGAACACCGGUGGCGAAGGCGGCGUUCUGGACUGCAACUGACACUGAUGAACGAAAGCGUGGGGAGCAAACAGG